AAUCAGUUAUCGUUUAUUUGAUAGUACCUUACUACUUGGAUAACCGUGGUAAUUCUAGAGCUAAUACAUGCUGAAAACCCUGACUUCGGAAAGGGUGUAUUUAUUAGAUAAAAAACCAAUGCCCUUUGGGCUCUUUGGUGAUUCAUGAUAACUUAACGGAUCGCAUGGCCUUGCGCCGGCGACGGUUCAUUCAAAUUUCUGCCCUAUCAACUUUCGAUGGUAAGGUAUUGGCUUACCAUGGUUUCAACGGGUAACGGGGAAUUAGGGUUCGAUUCCGGAGAGGGAGCCUGAGAAACGGCUACCACAUCCAAGGAAGGCAGCAGGCGCGCAAAUUACCCAAUCCCGACACGGGGAGGUAGUGACAAUAAAUACUGAUACAGGGCUCUUUUGGGUCUUGUAAUCGGAAUGAGUACAAUUUAAACCUCUUAACGAGGAACAAUUGGAGGGCAAGUCUGGUGCCAGCAGCCGCGGUAAUUCCAGCUCCAAUAGCGUAUAUUAAAGUUGUUGCAGUUAAAAAGCUCGUAGUUGAAUCUUGGGCCUGGCUGGCCGGUCCGCCUCACCGCGUGUACUGGUCUGGCCGGGCCUUUCCUUCUGGAGAACCUCAUGCCCUUCAGUGGGUGUGUUGGGGAACCAGGACUUUUACUUUGAAAAAAUUAGAGUGUUCAAAGCAGGCCUUUGCUCGAAUACGUUAGCAUGGAAUAAUAGAAUAGGACGUGCGGUCCUAUUUUGUUGGUUUCUAGGACCGCCGUAAUGAUUAAUAGGGAUAGUCGGGGGCAUCAGUAUUCAAUUGUCAGAGGUGAAAUUCUUGGAUUUAUUGAAGACUAACUACUGCGAAAGCAUUUGCCAAGGAUGUUUUCAUUAAUCAGUGAACGAAAGUUAGGGGAUCGAAGACGAUCAGAUACCGUCGUAGUCUUAACCGUAAACUAUGCCGACUAGGGAUCGGGCGAUGUUUCUAUCUUGACUCGCU
rnacentral:rRNA from 2 species